rnacentral:tRNA from 1 species
GCGCCCGUAGCUCAUAUGGAUAGAGCGCUGCCCUCCGGAGGCAGAGGUGACAGGUUCAAAUCCUGUCGGGUGCGCCA